AGAAAAUAGAUACCCCGGUAGUCCAUGCUGUAAACGAUGAAGACUAGAUGUUGAAGGGUUAAACCCUACAGUAUCGAAAGCAAAACGCGAUAAGUCUUCCGCCUGGGGAGUACGGCCGCAAGGCUAAAACUCAAAGGAAUUGACGGGGGCCCACACAAGCGGUGGAGCAUGUGGUUUAAUUCGAUGCAACGCGAAGAACCUUACCUACUCUUGACAUCCUAUGAAUCCAGAAGAGAUUUUGGAGUGCCGAAAGGAGCAUAGAGACAGGUGCUGCAUGGCUGUCGUCAGCUCGUGUCGUGAGAUGUUGGGUUAAGUCCCGUAACGAGCGCAACCCUUAUCCUUAGUUGCCAACACGUAAAGGUGGGAACUCUAGGGAGACUGCCGGUGAUAAACCGGAGGAAGGUGGGGAUGAGGUCAAGUCAUCAUGGCCUUUAUGAGUAGGGCCACACACGUGCUACAAUGGGCAGUACAGAGGGAAGCCAACCCGCGAGGGGAGCAAAACUCAGAAAGCUGUUCGUAGUCCGGAUUGGAGUCUGGAACUCGAC
rnacentral:rRNA from 1 species